CGUUACGAACGUGACUCAAUACAUUAAAUAGAUUCCUAUCAUAUAAGUAAACUGUUGAUGCUUGCUUAUGGCUUGCUUUCGGGUAGGUCAUUGGGUAAGUGGAAGUUUACCUGAUAGUUUGUCAACUGUCAAAGGUUGGCUUUGAUCUGCUUAAUGAGACAAAUUGUGUUUAUCAAAAUGAGAUUGAGCAAUAACAGGUCCGUGAUGCCCUUAGAUGUCCUGGGUUGCACGCGCGCUACAAUGAGACCAUCAACGUGAUACCUGAUCUGAAAGGAUUGGGAAAUCACUUAAAUGUGCUCUUAGUUGGGAUUGUGGAUUGUAAUUAUUCACAUGAACCUGGAAUUCCCAGUAAAUGCUAGUCAUCAGCUAGCGUUGACUAAGUCCCUGCCCUUUGUACACACCGCCCGUCGCUAUUACCGAUUGGUUAUUUAGUGAGGUCUCCGGAGGUAAUCGCCGAAGAUGCUUAGGUAUCAUUAGGUUGUUUUGCCAAAGUUGACCGAACUUGAUGAUUGAGAGGAAAUAAAAGUCGUAACAAGGUUUCCGUAGGUGAACCUGCGGAAGGAUCAUUA
rnacentral:rRNA from 1 species